GCGAUCCUGAGGAGCAGUCGCUCUUUUCUUCGGCUCCACAAAAUGUAACAAUGAGGCGGAACGGAGGAGGUGCGAGACCGGGUGGUAGACGGGGAGGCUUUCUAAACACUUCGUGGAUGCGGCAGAUCCCGCAUAAAGAAAUUAUCUGUCACAGUUUUACAAAACAGGACAAAUCGAGGCUCCCUCUCAAUGACAGGCCGCGGGUGACAGCCGCCAUCUUUGUAGGAGCAUGUUAGAAGAGGAUUUGCAGAUCGGAAACUCAAACCAAAUGAUACACCAAGAUCUAAGGAAUUGGAAAGGGAGAAUUUGCAGACAGGCAGCUCAAGUCAAAUAUUGGAUCAAGAGCUGCCAGUAACACUCAUUUUUCAGAAAGUUUGAACAUGGAAGGAAGAAGUAUCAGUGAAGAUAAACCAUAUUAUGUGGACAAGCCUUUAGUCUAUUGUUUGGUCUGUUGAGACAUAAAUGCAAUCAAAAUAGGGUCACAACAAUGACAUCAAGCAGCACUUGCUCUGUAAUAUCAUGGUGAUGGAUCUCCAUUUGAGUUAAGCAAGGGCUACUCAGCUCCUGAUCUCCUUACAUUCUUGUUUGCAAACAUGGACCAAGCAGCUGAAUUCUAGUGAGAGUGACUACCCACUAUCUUAAGGCGACAUUUGACAGAGUAUUGUAUCAAGGAACCAGAACAAAGCUAAAGUCAAUUGGAAUCAAUCAAUGUUACUCUUUUGACUGCGAAUUUUGAAAAGAUUGUGUCUUCAGACCUGAGCAGAGUGAAACAAGGUGAAUUUAUUCAAACUUGUACCACAUGUAUGCAGAAGAGGUCUCUAAGUCUAGCUUGGAGACACUCUACCAGUUACAACUCAAAACAGCAUAUUACGAAAUUUUCACGUCAGAAUGGUAGCAUGUAACAUUGGCAUAAAAUGAAUUAUAUGUUACUCGUUUACAGUAAAAACAGGAUGCUGUUUCAUUUCUUACAAAGUUCUGAGUCUUCCAGUUUUGACAGGACUUCCACUUCCAUGUUAUCUUCAGAGCAUCUCUGUCCCCACUCGCUCACAGCACGCAAGCCUUACGUGACUAAGUACCUGUUGAUGGUUCACAGUUAUGUAUAUGCAGUUAAACUACCGGAGCCACAAUAACUGUGUCCUUAUAUGGUUGUAUUUUACUCCUAGCCCUCUACUGUACUGCUUGUCCAAUCUCAUUUCCUACUUGUUCUGUGUUUAAAUGCCCUGCAUCUUUUAUAUUCCCCUUGUACACUCUCUACCCUCCUUACCCUACUUCAUGCUGAUUGGAUAAUAUUGAAUACAAAGGAAGAGGUGUGUGAUUGUACGGGGCCAACCAUUUCAGCUGCAGGAGUUCCUCUGGAUUAGGAUCUAGUCCCAACUACCUUCAGCUGUUUCGUCAAAGACCUUCCCUGCAUCAUAAGGUCAGAAGUGAGAAUGCUUGAUGAUGAUUGCACAAUGCUUAGGAGUAUUUGUGACUCUUCAGAUACUGAAGCAAUCGAUAUAUAAAUGCAGUAUCCUUGGACAACUUUGAAGUUAGCCUGCGACAUGACAAAGAACAUUUGCAUCAACAAGUACCAACAAAUAAUGACCAAAUCUGACAAAUGAGAAUCUAACCAUAAACCAUUGAUAUUCAAUGGUUUUAUCUUCACUGAAUUCCCCCACUAUCGUCAUCCUGGGUGCUAACAUUAAUGAGAAACUGAACUGGACCUGCCAUCUCAAUACUGUACCUACAAAAGAAGGUCAGAAGGGAAGAGAUUCUAUGUCGAUUAACUCAAUUCGUGACUCCCCAAAGCAUUUGCAUCAUCAGGAGUGUAAGAAAACACUCUCCGUUUGCUUGGGUGGAGGCUGCUCCAACAACACUCAAGAAACGUGACAACAUCCAGGUCAGUGCAGUCCACCUAACCUGUGCCCCAUUCAGUACCUUCAGCAUUUACUCCUUUUAUCACUGAGGUACAGUGGCAGCAGAGAGCACCAUCUACAAGAUAUACUGCAGUUAUUCACCCACGCUCCUUUGACUGCCCUUUCCCAGCCGCAAACUACCACCUGGAAGGACAAGAGCAGAAGAUGCGUCAAAACACCACCAUCUGCAAAUUCCGCUCCAAGGUGCAUGACAUCCGGACUUGGAGCAGUAUCAGCGACGAUCCCGUUGAAUGGUGCAGUGGACUUGAUCGACCAAAAAGCCUAUUUCUGCCUUCCAUUUUCUAACAUGAUUUUUUAAAAAGUUGAUUAAUGCAGUACUCAGACUUGUGUUCAGUUCUCUACUUGUUCUCUGGUGUUUGUUGAAGCUCCAGCGUCAUCUCCCUGGUCUUAUAUUUCAGUCUGUGAUCAAGAACCGAAAGUAUCUCAAAACCCUCUCAACCACCUGAUCUUUCUGUCCAACCACCUUAGGAAUCUCUGCAUACGGGAGGUGAUGGUCUAGUGGUAUUAACACUGCCUGUUAGUCCAGAGACCGAGAUAAUGUUCUGGGGACCUGGGUUUGAAU